rnacentral:rRNA from 1 species
GAUGAACGCUGGCGGCGUGCCUAAUACAUGCAAGUCGAGCGAACAGAUAAGGAGCUUGCUCCUUUGACGUUAGCGGCGGACGGGUGAGUAACACGUGGGUAACCUACCUAUAAGACUGGAAUAACUCCGGGAAACCGGGGCUAAUGCCGGAUAACAUUUAGAACCGCAUGGUUCUAAAGUGAAAGAUGGUUUUGCUAUCACUUAUAGAUGGACCCGCGCCGUAUUAGCUAGUUGGUAAGGUAACGGCUUACCAAGGCAACGAUACGUAGCCGACCUGAGAGGGUGAUCGGCCACACUUGAACUGAGGCACGGUCCAGACUCCUACGGGAGGCAGCAGUAGGGAAUCUUCCGCAAUGGGCGAAAGCCUGACGGAGCAACGCCGCGUGAGUGAUGAAGGUCUUCGGAUCGUAAAACUCUGUUAUUAGGGAAGAACAAAUGUGUAAGUAACUGUGCACGUCUUGACGGUACCUAAUCAGAAAGCCACGGCUAACUACGUG